UAUAGUUCUCUGUGCGAUGCGCUUGCUUUUGGAGAAUGUCCGCGUGCUGUGUUGCGCCGGGGGGGCUGCUCUGGCGCCAUCCCCUACGCCAGGGGGAGGCGGCGGCCCCGGCGACCUGCGCUGUCUCUGCCAAGCUUCCUUCGUGGCCCUGGUCUUCGCAGGCUGGUUCGCAGCGCCACGAGGGUGUUUUAAGGUGCUCGCCGUGUGUUACCCUUGAAUAAAGCCUGAUUAUUCUAGAAGCCUACUUGGGGCAGUGCCCUUUCACAGAUCAGUGUCUAAUCUGGUGACUGAAGGGCUGACGUUGGGAACUUAGCCUCUUGGAGAAGUGCUGUUGAGACUUCUGGGUCACCUAGAUAGUGGCUCCUGCCACUUGAAUCUUUGGGCUGCAAUGAGGAGUGAAGAGCCAUGUCCUUUCUCCCUGGCUCCUAUGGAUUUUGCUAACGAGAGGAUGUGUCUUAUUUGGUGUUGAGCAAAUCCUAGGAACUUCAUCUAGCUGUCCUGCAUUAACCUGUGAGCAGCUUUGAACUUGAGAAAAAAAACUGCAUAGAAGUUUUGAGAUCUUUAAAUAUCAUUCAGACCACUUUGCUUCAUUGUAAUCAAAUACUUGGUCUUGUCAAAAGGAUUCUAAUAAAAUGCUUUAGUGCAAAGUAAAAGUUUGGUUUUUGUAUAAGCAAAGUCGUACAAAAAGAUUUAGGGAAGUGAAAGGUAACUUUGUGAAUGAGCAUCACAGUUGACCUCUAGCUAUGUCUCUUCGCAGCUAUAUACAAGAUAAAAAAACUAGGUUGACGCUAACAUUAAGCAUUUCUAGGUGGUCUGCCAUAGGAUUCUAAUGGGUUAGAUGUACUUAACAAGUAGUGAAGAUUUUUAGGAUGUCGAAAUGUUAACACAGGCACUUAGCUUGCGUUCAGCUCAGGUCACGAUCACCGGUUUGUGAGUUUGAACCCUUCGUCUGGCUUUUUGCUGUGCACCUGGAGCCUGCUUCAGAUUCUGUGUCUCUCUCCCCUCCCCCCCACUUUGUCUCUUUCAAGAAUAAGUAUUAAAGUUAAAAACAACAAAACAUGGUCACCACUGUGGCUCAGUGGGUUUAGUGCCUGACUUUGCCUUGGGUUAUGAUCUCAUAGUUCGUGGGUUCAAGCUCACUGGUGUCAGCAUGGUGCCCACUUUGGAUCCUCUGGACCCUUCUCUUUGUCCCUCCCCUGCUUGCACUGUCUCCAAAAUAAAUAUUAAAAAAAAAAAACCCAUGCCUGUGCUAGUUGCCAGGGGCUGGGGAAAGGGGUAAAUGGAGUUUAAUGGAUAUAGAAUUUCAGUUUACAAGAUAAAGAAUUCUGGAGGUAGAUGGUGGUGUUGAUUGCUUAGUAUUACUGAAAUGUGUGCUUAAAAAUGGUUAAGAUGGUAAGUUUUACGUGUAGCCGACCACAGUAAAAAUUGGGGAAAAAAGCAGAUCCAUAUUUGGACUAUUUCAAAGAUGGUUUCUUACCCACCAGCGUGUACAAAUUUGUGUUGUUUUAAGAUUAUAUUAUAAAUUACCCAGUUCCUAGGAGGAGGGCAUUUAGGUUUCUAGUCAUGCUAUAUACCCUGUUAUUUGUACCCAUUUGAAGUUGUGUUGUAGAAUAAUACAUUUCAAAAGUAAAAUUUGAAAGGGUUUAAUAAGCAAAACAAUGCAUGGUAUAUUUCAUACCAGUUUAUGCUUGUGGCCUCAGUGUCCAUAAGAUUGCCUGUCUACCCUAUACCUAUCAUCACUACUCCCAGUUGUAACAGUUUUAGCACGGGUUUGGUUCUAUCUAUUACCUCAUUCUUUUGUUUUGUUUUUUAAUUUUGAGAGAGCGUAAGGGAGGGGCAUCUCUUUUUUGUUUAAAGUUUAUUUUUGAGAGAGAACGGGAGCAGGUGAGGGACAGAGAGAGGGAGACAGAAUCUGAAGCAGGCUCCAGGCUCUAAGCAGUCAGCACAGAGCCUCAUGUGGGGCUCAAACGCAAACUGCGAGAUCAUGACCUGUACCAAAGUCGGACACUUAACCAACUGAGCCACCUAGGAGUCCCCAACUCCUCUUUAAAACAUUUGCUACUGGGGCGCCUAGGUGGCUCAGUCAGUUAAGCGUCCGACCAGCUCAGGUCACGAUCUCGCGGUCCAUGAGUUCGAGCCCCGCGUCGGGCUCUGGGCUGAUGGCUCAGAGCCUGGAGCCUGCUUCAGAUUCUGUGUCUCCCUCUCUCUCUGCCCCUCCCCGUUCAUGCUCUGUCUCUCUCUGUCUCAAAAAUAAACAAAUGUUAAAAAAAAAAAAAAAAAUUGGGGGGCGCCUGGGUGGCUCAGUCGGUUAAGCAGCUGACCAGCUCAGGUCAUGAUCUCACAGUCUGUGAGUUCGAGCCCUGCGUUGGGCUCUGGGCUGAUGGCUCAGAGCCUGGAGCCUGCUUCGGAUUCUGUGUCUCCCUCUCUCUGCCCCUUCCCCACUCAUGCUCUCUCUCUGUCUCUCAAAAAUGAAUAAAUGUUAAAAAAUUUUUUUAAACAUUUGCUACCUUAACUUUUACUAUUUUAAGUAAUCUCUACCCCCAGUGUGGGGCUUGAAUUCACAACCCCAAGAUCAAGAGUUUUAUGCUGUAUUAGGUGCCCCUAGCUAUUAACCAUCUUUUAAAAAUUACAUUUCUUAGGGGUGCCUGGGUGGGUCAGUCGGUUGGGCGUCUGACUUCCGCUCAGGUCAUGAUCUCGCGGUCUGUGAGUUCGAGCCCCGUGUCGGGCUCUGUGCUGACAGCUCAGAGCCUGGAGCCUGUUUCGGAUUCUGUGUCUCCCUCUCUCUCUCUCUCUGACCUUCCCCUGUUCAUGCUCUAUCUCUCUCUGUCUCAAAAAUAAAAGUAAUAAUAAUAAAAAAAAAUUGCAUUUCUUCUGUAUUUUACUACUGAACGUUUCCAGCUUGGCCUCCACCCCUGGGAAUUAGCAAAGGUUUUUCCCAACCUUUAUUUUCUUGAUCACCUUUAUUUUUAUUUUUUUUCUUCCCCAAAUUGCCCUGGUUGAUACUCUCUGGAGGACAGUUUAGUCUGCAGCUCCCAUUGCUAUGCUCUGGCAAAGGGUUCCUUGGCCUUGGUGCUUGGCCCAGAAUUUGAGGAUUAGACCUGUUUAACAGGGACUUGUUAUCUAAAACUUGGGUUAAAGUAGGGAAUAUUUGAUUAAAGUUUCUUAAAAUCCUUCACUUGGGCUCUUUUGUUUUUAGGACAAGAACAAACUAGCCUGC